AUUGAACGCUGGCGGCAGGCCUAACACAUGCAAGUCGGACGGUAACAGGAAGAAGCUUGCUUCUUUGCUGACGAGUGGCGGACGGGUGAGUAAUGUCUGGGAAACUGCCUGAUGGAGGGGGAUAACUACUGGAAACGGUAGCUAAUACCGCAUAACGUCGCAAGACCAAAGAGGGGGACCUUCGGGCCUCUUGCCAUCGGAUGUGCCCAGAUGGGAUUAGCUAGUAGGUGGGGUAACGGCUCACCUAGGCGACGAUCCCUAGCUGGUCUGAGAGGAUGACCAGCCACACUGGAACUGAGACACGGUCCAGACUCCUACGGGAGGCAGCAGUGGGGAAUAUUGCACAAUGGGCGCAAGCCUGAUGCGGCCAUGCCGCGUGUAUGAAGAAGGCCUUCGGGUUGUAAAGUACUUUCAGCGGGGAGGAAGGGAGUAAAGUUAAUACCUUUGCUCAUUGACGUUACCCGCAGAAGAAGCACCGGCUAACUCCGUG
rnacentral:rRNA from 1 species